rnacentral:misc_RNA from 1 species
UACGUAGGGGGCAAGCGUUGUCCGGAAUUAUUGGGCGUAAAGCGCGCGCAGGCGGUUUUUUAAGUCUGGUGUUUAAGCCCGGAGCUCAACUUCGGGACGCACUGGAAACUGGGGAACUGGAGUGCAGGAGAGGAAAGUGGAAUUCCACGUGUAGCGGUGAAAUGCGUAGAGAUGCGGAGGAACACCAGUGGCGAAGGCGACUUUCUGGCCUGUAACUGACGCUGAGGCGCGAAAGCGUGGGGAGCAAACAGG